rnacentral:snRNA from 1 species
CCAACCCUCAGGACCAAGUCU